GUUAGGAAUAUUGGACAAUGGGCGCAAGCCUGAUCCAGCCAUGCCGCGUGAGUGAUGAAGGCCUUCGGGUUGUAAAGCUCUUUAGCCGAUGAUUAUAAUGACUGUAGUCGGAAAAUAAGCCCCGGCUAACUUCGUGCCAGCAGCCGCGGUAAUACGAAGGGGGCGAGCGUUAUUCGGAAUCACUGGGCGUAAAGCGUGCGUAGGCGGCUUUGCAAGUUGGGAGUGAAAGCCCAGGGCUCAACCCUGGAAUUGCUCUCAAAACUGCAAGGGUCGAAUUCGGGAGAGGAUAGCGGAAUUGUCAGUGUAGCAGUGAAAUGCGUAGAUAUUGACAGGAACACCAGUGGCGUAAGCGGCUAUCUGGACCGAUAUUGACGCUGAGGCACGAAAGCGUGGGGAUCAAACAGGAUUAGAUACCCCUGUAGUCC
rnacentral:rRNA from 1 species